AGUGGGGAAUAUUGCACAAUGGGGGAAACCCUGAUGCAGCCAUGCCGCGUGUGUGAAGAAGGCCUUCGGGUUGUAAAGCACUUUCAGUAGGGAGGAAAGGUUAGUAGCUAAUAUCUGCUAGCUGUGACGUUACCUACAGAAGAAGCACCGGCUAACUCCGUGCCAGCAGCCGCGGUAAUACGGAGGGUGCGAGCGUUAAUCGGAAUUACUGGGCGUAAAGCGUGCGUAGGCGGAUUGUUAAGUCAGAUGUGAAAUCCCGGGGCUCAACCUCGGAACUGCAUUUGAAACUGGCAGUCUAGAGUAUUGUAGAGGGUGGUGGAAUUUCCAGUGUAGCGGUGAAAUGCGUAGAGAUUGGAAGGAACAUCAGUGGCGAAGGCGGCCACCUGGACAAAUACUGACGCUGAGGCACGAAAGCGUGGGGAGCGAA
rnacentral:rRNA from 1 species